UACGUAGGAGGCAAGCGUUGUCCGGAUUUACUGGGCGUAAAGAGCGUGUAGGCGGUUGAGCAAGUCUGCUGUGAAAUCUCCUGGCUCAACCAGGAAGGGUCAGUGGAAACUGCUUAACUUGAGGACGGUAGAGGGGGGUGGAAUUCCCGGUGUAGUGGUGAAAUGCGUAGAGAUCGGGAGGAACACCUGCGGCGAAGGCGGGUUGCUGGGCUGAUACUGACGCUGAGGCGCGAAAGCCAGGGGAGCGAACGGG
rnacentral:rRNA from 1 species